UACGUAGGGUGCAAGCGUUAAUCGGAAUUACUGGGCGUAAAGCGUGCGCAGGCGGUGAUGUAAGACAGUUGUGAAAUCCCCGGGCUCAACCUGGGAACUGCAUCUGUGACUGCAUCGCUGGAGUACGGUAGAGGGGAUGGAAUUCCGCGUGUAGCAGUGAAAUGCGUAGAUAUGCGGAGGAACACCGAUGGCGAAGGCAAUCCCCGUGGACCUGUACUGACGCUCAUGC
rnacentral:rRNA from 1 species